rnacentral:rRNA from 1 species
GAGUUUGAUCAUGGCUCAGGACGAACGCUGGCGGCGUGCUUAACACAUGCAAGUCGAACGGUAAGGCUCCAGCUUGCUGGGGUACACGAGUGGCGAACGGGUGAGUAACACGUGGGUGACCUGCCCUGCACUUCGGGAUAAGCCUGGGAAACUGGGUCUAAUACCGGAUAGGACCGCACCGUGAGGGUGUGGUGGAAAGUUUUUUCGGUGUGGGAUGGGCCCGCGGCCUAUCAGCUUGUUGGUGGGGUAAUGGCCUACCAAGGCGGCGACGGGUAGCCGGCCUGAGAGGGUGGACGGCCACAUUGGGACUGAGACACGGCCCAGACUCCUACGGGAGGCAGGCAGUGGGGAAUAUUGCACAAGUGGGCGGAAGCCUGAUGCAGCGAC